GACAUUUCAACUCCAGCCACCAGUGACUUUAACUGUCACUUUUCUGUCAUGCAGCUGACUACAUGUGUAAGCUGUUCAAACUCUGGCUGUCCUUAUCAUUCAAGACUGUGUGUUAUGAGGACUGCUUCCCUGAGAAUGCUGAGUGCAUUCUGGAAUAUUCCAAAUGUGUGCCACUUCCAUACGGACGCCCGCAAGAGAGUUCACUCAUCAGGUCAAAGUUGGUCUGUCCUGAUGGCACUACCUGCUGCUUGAUGAUGUCUAGUAGCCAUCGCUGCUGCCUUCAA